AUUGAACGCUAGCGGGAUGCCUUACACAUGCAAGUCGAACGGAGUGGCGAACGGGUGAGUAAUGUAUCGGAACGUGCCCAGUAGCGGGGGAUAACUACGGGAAAGCGUAGCUAAUACCGCAUACUAUUAGAGCAGCCGAGAUCGGAUUAGCUAGUUGGUGGGGUAACGGCCUACCAAGGCGACGAUCCGUAGCUGGUCUGAGAGGAUGACCAGCCACACUGGGACUGAGACACGGCCCAGACUCCUACGGGAGGCAGCAGUGGGGAAUGUUGGACAAUGGGGGAAACCCUGAUCCAGCCAUGCCGCGUGUGCGAUGAAGGCCUUCGGGUUGUAAAGCACUUUUGGCAGGAAAGCGGUACCUGCAGAAUAAGCACCGGCUAACUACGUGCCAGCAGCCGCGGUAAUUC
rnacentral:rRNA from 1 species